GGAGGAUCCGAGCGUUAUCCGGAAUUAUUGGGUUUAAAGGGUGCGUAGGCGGCCUGAUAAGUCAGGGGUGAAAGUCGGCAGCUCAACUGUCGCAGUGCCUUUGAUACUGUUUGGCUUGAAUUCGGUUGAAGAUGGCGGAAUGAGACAAGUAGCGGUGAAAUGCAUAGAUAUGUCUCAGAACCCCGAUUGCGAAGGCAGCUAUCUAAGCCGUUAUUGACGCUGAUGCACGAAAGCGUGGGUAGCAAACAGGAUUAGAUACCCUGGUAGUCCACGCCCUAAACGAUGAUAACUCGAUGUUGGCGAUAUACAGUCAGCGUCUUAGCGAAAGCGUUAAGUUAUCCACCUGGGGAGUACGCCCGCCACGGUG
rnacentral:rRNA from 1 species